rnacentral:lncRNA from 1 species
AGAAAGAAGAUCUUAGAUCUCCAUGACCUGUCUGCCUGCCUAGUUGGAGAUCUACAGGUUUGUCAUUUGCCCUACCCACCCCACCCCCGACUCACCUUGACCCUGGGAGCCGCAAGGAGCUGCUUGCUUUGGUGGGGGACUUGGAUCUCCAAGUGUUGCUGCUUCCUCCAGCCCCUGGGGUGCCAGGCCGUUGCUUACUUCAUCGAUGUGGUGGAGGUAAAUAUGGGGAAAGUCCCCAAGAAGAAAACUCACAGAACAUUAACUGUCCCUCCCAUCCUGUGCGGCCCAGCCCCUUGGAAUGUGACACCUUCUGAGCGAUGACCAAGUGCCCAGGGCUACUCCUGCUGCCAGUUUGGUACCACCACACAAAGGACGUUAAUUUCAUUUAUAGAAUGUAAGCUUAUCAUGGGCAGGGAAAGUGUCUACCAACUCAGUUGUCUUGAACUCUCCAAAGUGCUUACCAAAAAUGCUCUGCACAGAGUAAGUACACAGUAAAUCCCAUUAAUUGAUUUAUAUGCAUGCUCCCUGAAAAAAGCUUUGGGAAAAUGUUCUUGUGUGGGUGAGUUGUUUUGAAGUUCUUAUUGAGCCCAGUUUGACAAGAUAUUGCAGGAUUUGGGAGUGUUUGGUCAGUUUGGCUGGAUGGUUGGGAUAAAGGUGUUUUAAGUCUGGAAACUUCCAUUUGGCUCCCCCUCUGAGCCCCAUUACAGAAAAAUAGAGCUAUUUCAUUCAGCUUUCACCCGUUCCUCACUACACAUCCUUCAGGACCCCUGGUUUCUUCACCAUUGAGGGGAAUAGAAUCAAUCAUUCAGUAAACCCUACAAUGGUAUUGAUUGAGCCUUUACCUGGGCCAGAGUGCUGUAGUAAAGCACCCUAUAUUGUCAGCUCGUUGUAGGCAGGGAAUGUGUCUACCUACUCUUUUGUAUUCUCCCAAGCGCUUGGUACAGUGUUCUGCACACAGUGAGUGCUCUAUAAAUACGAUUGACCAAUUGAGCGAUUGAUUGGAAGGAUACAGUAGAGUUAGCAGAUACGGUCCCUGCCCUGAGGGAGAGAUAAGACACUGUGAGAGAGGCAGGGCAAACUCUUCUAUCCCAUUUCAGCUCCCAAACCAAGAGAAGCAUUUCCUGAACUGCCAGGCUGCAAUGACCUCAAGACUAACAGAAUGUGCG